rnacentral:rRNA from 1 species
UACGAAGGGGGCUAGCGUUGUUCGGAAUUACUGGGCGUAAAGCGUAUGCAGGCGGACUUUUAAGUCGGGGGUGAAAUCCCGAGGCUCAACCUCGGAACUGCCUUCGAUACUGGAAGUCUUGAGUCCGGGAGAGGUGAGUGGAACUCCGAGUGUAGAGGUGAAAUUCGUAGAUAUUCGGAAGAACACCAGUGGCGAAGGCGGCUCACUGGCCCGGUACUGACGCUGAGAUACGAAAGCUAGGGGAGCCAAACGGGG